CGAGCUAUUGAAAAAAUCAAACAAUUCAGUAUCGUUUCGGGCUCCAUAGGGGCAACAUCUCCUAAAAAAACUUAGUUUCGGUUAUAAAAAUAACAAAAUUUUUGUGUUAAAAAUAAAAUUUUCGUAAAAAUGAAAAUGUGAAAAAAACCAGAAGAGCACUUACACAAAUCGGCAGUUAGGGCUAAUGGCAGACAUUCUUAGACUUCGAUAUACCAAGACACAUACACGCACAAUGUCAUGCGACACAACGCGUUGCAACGCUGCUAGGAAAGCCCUGUAAACUGAUGUGACGCUCUCCGUUGGAUGGAACUACAUUGGCAACACUGGCACACUCUUAUUUCGAUAUUUGGAAUGAUGGCAUCUUCUACUUCUACGAAUCACAAGGCGACAACUCUACUUAAACUGCCGAACAAUCCUCUACUCUGGUACACAGCCAUCCUUGACGGACAGCGUACAGCUUUUGACGGGCUUUCCUAGGUUUUUAUAUCGUUAACAUCCAAGAGGUUACUUCACGCAAAUAUUCACGCACUACACAUUCACAAUCUCUCGUUAAAAAACUCUGGGCUGAUGGCGAUGCAGUUGGCAUGGCGAACGCACAUUUUAAUGUUUAAUUCUAGCAUAUUAAUAAAUAUAUUGAAAGAA